ncrna:unclassified sequences S15-Flavobacteria ribosomal protein leader
UAUAUUUGCGCCUCUGAUUUAACAAAAAUUGGUUACAUAAGAAUUAUUUACAAAAAUAUUGGCAUG